CCUUAGAGUCGUAGGCCUCUG
rnacentral:miRNA from 1 species